ensembl:lncRNA
CACCAUUUUUAGCUCCUUCCUGCUCGCUUACCGUGGUGCUACCCCGAAUCUCAUGGGCACAGCCACAGCAGGAAAUGGAAAAUAUCUUGUCCUUUGCCAGCAGCAGAAAAAAUGUUAAGAUUAACAGCUCUGUUGACAAUGACUUUUGCAGAUUUGUCCCAUCGUAGUGUUAAUGUCACGAAUAGUAAAGCAUUAGCCAUUGUACUCUGUCGAAAGCAAAAAUCUCCAUUUUCUUCGCAGUCUGCUAAAACCUGAAAAAAGAAAAAUCACCCUUCAUAAUUCCCAAUGAGAUUCCAUUAGAGUGAAAGGAAAAAGUGAUGUUGUAUUUUGCAUGCCUCAGAAAUGAUGUCUUAAAGGCUGCGAUGCCGGCUGCAAGUAUGUUUUUCCAGAGCAGUGCAGUGCAGUGCAGUUACUCUCAGACAACUCAUACAUUACCUGCCUCCAACUCUUCCAUUCACAUAAUGCAGGAGUGGGUUCUGUGGAAGACGCACAGUGACUUUCAUGUCACAUCAAAAUUAAUCAAAAUGCCACAGUCUAAGAAAACACAUUCCCCCCCCUCAAAAUCUUUAAACCUAAUAAAUUCUCCAGGGAGAUGCGUGGGUUAUAAUAAACGGACAAUUCUUAAGCAUCUAAAUAAGCUGUGCGAUACUGUUUCGGUUCUGUAGCCUGGAGUAUCGCAGCAAACAGAGCGGGAUGAACCCGUGACAGCUGAAGAUGAAAAACCCUGCGCCCAUAUAAAUUCUCCUAACUUCAUCAAACUCGAGCAAGCCGCAGUGAUUUACACUUCUCCAGAGUGUUUUCAGUGCAGCUCCUUUCAGAAAUAGAAGGGCAAAAGUGGGAAGGGAAAAAAAAAAAUAAGGUGGAAUUACAGAUAAACAAACCGGAGGAUGGCAGCUGCCUGCAGCCUACCAGGGACAGAAACAAACCAGCCAGCUAAUUAUAAGCAAUGCUGACUAUAACUCAUAUUUCACCCCACCCUCCUCUUUUUUUUCUUUUUAAUUUCUUCCCUGAUUUCAUUUCAUUUUAGCGUGGUUUCAAGGAAAUAAGAUCUUUUGCUUGAAGACUUCAUCUGCUCCUGCUUGCCACAGCUCAGAAGCCAAUAAUCCUCUCCGUGAUAUCAGGCAUGCUUGCCUGAUACCAUGCCAAGGACAGCGCAUGAGAUUCUUGGGCAUGUGGAAUAGGAACAACAGAUGAGAAACCGCAACAGAUGCAAGGAGCAGUUCUGUGUGUUGAUCACCCUUGUUGCCCUGUUCUGAAGCUUUUCCAGCCAACCUACACCUCUAGAGAAAGAAAGAUCAGAACUGCAGGCAGUAUUCCAGCAAUGAGCAAGUCGUGGACUUACAUGUUGGCACGAUGGUGUCCAGUUUUCUCUCUCUUACUUUGUUGACAAUUGUUAAUAAUUGGUCUGCUUCUUAAGCUGUGUACUGAUAGCAAGCAUGAAUAGUUCUCAUCAAGCUAUCUAUCAUAACCCACAGCUUUUGUUGCUGAGGGAAGCAAUCAGCCCAUCUUUUAUAUGUGAAAUUAGAAUUGUUUUUCCCCUAACCUUCAUAUUUAUCUACAUCAAAUUUCAUCUGCUGUUUUAUUGCCUACUCAAUCUAGUAAGCUCGUUCUCCAGCUCUGCACCAUCAUCUUUACUAUCCAGAAUAAAUGACAGCUAAUAUUGUGUCAGCAGCAAACCUCACAGGACAGAUUUUCUUGCAGUAUUCCUCUUACAAUCUCUCUGCACCACAAAGAAUGACCAUUUUCUCCCACCCUCUGGUUCCUUCGUUUUCAUAAAUUAUUUACCCAUACAAGAACCUUCCCUCUUGCCACAUGACUUUGCCUCCUUAAAAGCCUUGGUGAUGGACCUUGCUGAAAGCCUUUUGAUAACUCAAGCAGGCAGCCUGAGUUUUAUCUUAUUUAAUUGCAGUUGACAUUUUCAAAGAACCAAAGGUCUGAGAAGGUGAUAUUCACCUAUAAAAACUAUGGCAGUUAUUCCUAGCAAAAGGGACUGCUGACAUUUCCCCGGAGGAAUGACAAUAUAGGGAAUCAAGCAUCAACACAAUGAAUAUUUUUCACAUGACACGUAACCCCAAACCCACCUCCAGAGGAAACUGCCAAAGCCAAGAAGAUGGCAGUAUUCAGAAGGUUGGGCAACCAGGUAGAGAGCACUCCUGGCUUGUUCUCCAUUGGUACAGGAAGGGAUUUUGAAAUACCUCAGCACUUCAGAUACUUGCCUCAGUGUAAAAGAUGAGGAUCAAAACUAAGAAAGCUUGGUAGAUGAUCCCCUUAUUUUCUGAAUACUUCAUUUGAACCUGACCUGACAAAGGGAGGCAUAAAGCUUACAGGGUACAGUAUGAGGUGAAUGAGCCAUUUGUCAGGCUGUGGGCCACCAAAUGCCCAGUGGGCUCCAGCACCACUCACAGACCUCAGCAUUUUCUGAAGCUUCCCCAGGCUGACACUGCUCAUUUUCUUUGGUCCAGAAAAUACACGGACAGCACCACUCUUUUUUUUCCAGUGUCAGAAAGGAUACUUCCAAGCAACACAAGUGAUUAAUAUUCAGAAUGGAAUUCUUUUACAAAAAGCACUGGAGAAAUUGCUGGACUUGUAGAGAUCAGCAUUUCAUUGCUUGGACUGCACAUUAGAAUAAGGGCUAAGACUAAAUUGUUUGUGAAGCUUUUCAACAACUUAUUGAUCUUCAUUUUAAACGCUGACAUGAGCUAUAAACUGAGAUCUCAAAAAUCUUAAUUUAAAUGACAA